ACCACCACCAUCACCACCACCACCACUACGGCAACCACCACCACCCCCACCACACGGCUGCCACCACCACCACCACCACUACCGCCACCACCACCACUCAGCCCACCGUCAUAGAGAGUGCCCUCGUAUUUGCUGGACAAUGUGGAGGAUGGCGGGGGCAGCAGUGAGGCGGUGGCCGGCGGAGGAGGAGAGAGACAGGCGGAGAAGAAUGUCAAGGUCCAUUUCAAUUCUUCCUUCAACGUUGUCAAGUACGGGGACGGCACUGACAUCAAGUGCUGCACCAGGCCAGCUUCAUCCUAGUCAGCACAAGCUGUUAUGCCCACACUGACCACGGCUACUAUGUCCCCGCUGAGCUGAGUCUGCUGCGCUUCAGCCUAAGGAACGGAAUCAUGAAGUUGUUUCACUGUGUUGUUGCGCCCAUCAUGCUGCCUCGGCAAGGAAGCACUCGCUGGAGACUCACAAGCUGCUGAGUGACUCGGAGGGCUUCGGGAACAGCCUUGAGGAAACUGCCAAGAAUCUGAAGCAGCUCUUGUCCAAGGCCUCGGACAAAGCCUGUUGGCUCUUGGGGGGGUGCUGAUGGGCGGGAAAGGUCGUGCAGGCCUGGACGACAAAACCAUGGGAGGAGGAGGAAGACUUUCCCUCGCUUGGCUCUGAGCAGGCCAGGAAAGGUACAGUGC